rfam:Postia placenta Mad-698-R POSPLscaffold_142_Cont5756, whole genome shotgun sequence.
GCUUGGGUGGCUCAGUUGGUUAGAGCGCAGGUCUCAUACGUAAGUGUGAGGGAUUAUUUAAUCCCGUAAUCCUGAGGUCAUGAGUUCGAUCCUCAUCCCGAGCA